rnacentral:rRNA from 1 species
GAUGAAUGCUGGCGGCGUGCCUAAUACAUGCAAGUCGAGCGAACAGACGAGGAGCUUGCUCCUCUGACGUUAGCGGCGGACGGGUGAGUAACACGUGGAUAACCUACCUAUAAGACUGGGAUAACUUCGGGAAACCGGAGCUAAUACCGGAUAAUAUAUUGAACCGCAUGGUUCAAUAGUGAAAGACGGUUUUGCUGUCACUUAUAGAUGGAUCCGCGCCGCAUUAGCUAGUUGGUAAGGUAACGGCUUACCAAGGCAACGAUGCGUAGCCGACCUGAGAGGGUGAUCGGCCACACUGGAACUGAGACACGGUCCAGACUCCUACGGGAGGCAGCAGUAGGGAAUCUUCCGCAAUGGGCGAAAGCUUGACGGAGCAACGCCGCGUGAGUGAUGAAGGUCUUCGGAUCGUAAAACUCUGUUAUUAGGGAAGAACAAAUGUGUAAGUACCUAUGCACGUCUUGACGGUACCUAAUCAGAAAGCCACGGCUAACUACGUG